rnacentral:rRNA from 1 species
CAGCCGCCACGGGAAUACGAAGGGUGCAAGCGUUACUCGGGAUUACUGGGCGUAAAGCGUGCGUAGGUGGUGGUUUAAGUCCGUUGUGAAAGCCCUGGGCUCAACCUGGGAAUUGCAGUGGAUACUGGGUCACUAGAGUGUGGUAGAGGAUAGUGGAAUUUCCGGUGUAGCAGUGAAAUGCGUAGAGAUCGGAAGGAACAUCUGUGGCGAAGGCGACUAUCUGGGCCAACACUGACACUGAGGCACGAAAGCGUGGGGAGCAAACAGGAUUAGAUACCCCUGUAGUCCCUGUCUCUUAUAC